rnacentral:rRNA from 1 species
UACGAAGGGGACUAGCGUUGUUCGGAAUCACUGGGCGUAAAGCGCACGUAGGCGGAUGUGUCAGUCAGGGGUGAAAUCCCGGGGCUCAACCUCGGAACUGCCUUUGAUACAGCACGUCUCGAGUCCGGAAGAGGUGGGUGGAAUUCCGAGUGUAGAGGUGAAAUUCGUAGAUAUUCGGAAGAACACCAGUGGCGAAGGCGACUCACUGGCCCGAUACUGACGCUGAGGCGCGAAAGCGUGGGGAGCAAACAGG